GGCCUUAUGGUCUAGUAGUAUGAUUCUCGCUUUGGGUAGGGCACCCCCCGCAUUCUCACUGCGAGAGGUCCUGGGUUCAAUUCCCAGUGAGGCCC
rnacentral:tRNA from 1 species